UGUGAAACUAUAAAGUAAUAUAAAAAUAUUAAUUAUAUUUCACUUGUUGCCCAGAGUACCAUGGAAACCUCACCUUAGUGAGUGAGUAGGGCUUUGGUGGGCUCCUGCCAUAGAAGCUUCUAGAUAUUC
rnacentral:snoRNA from 1 species